rnacentral:rRNA from 2 species
GUGUUCCACGCUGUCGGUUCGCCGCCCGUCGGUGUCAACUGGCAUGUCCUGUGGAACGUCCUGCCGGUGGCGGUCCGGGCUUUCGGCUUGCGUAAGGGCUCACGCCCGAAGCAGGCCGAACAGUACCGGCCGCCGGUCCAAUCCCGCCACGGUGCUCUUCACCGAGUGUCGAGGUGGGCCGGCACGUUUACUUUGAACAAAUUAGAGUGCUUAAAGCAGGCUGGUGUCCGCCUGAAUACUGUGUGCAUGGAAUAAUAGAAUAGGACCUCGGUUCUAUUUUGUUGGUUUUCGGAACCCGAGGUAAUGAUUAAUAGGGACAGGCGGGGGCAUUCGUAUUGCGACGUUAGAGGUGAAAUUCUUGGAUCGUCGCAAGACGAACCUAAGCGAAAGCAUUUGCCAAGUAUGUUCUCGUUAAUCAAGAACGAAAGUUAGAGGUUCGAAGGCGAUCAGAUACCGCCCUAGUUCUAACCAUAAACGAUGCCAGCCAGCGAUCCGCCGAAGUUCCUCCGAUGACUCGGCGGGCAGCUUCCGGGAAACCAAAGCUUUUGGGUUCCGGGGGAAGUAUGGUUGCAAAGCUGAAACUUAAAGGAAUUGACGGAAGGGCACCACCAGGAGUGGAGCCUGCGGCUUAAUUUGACUCAACACGGGAAACCUCACCAGGCCCGGACACCGGAAGGAUUGACAGAUUGAGAGCUCUUUCUUGAUUCGGUGGGUGGUGGUGCAUGGCCGUUCUUAGUUGGUGGAGCGAUUUGUCUGGUUAAUUCCGAUAACGAACGAGACUCUAGCCUGCUAACUAGGCGAUUCCGGUACCCACAAUAGUGUUACCGGCGAUUCAAUUUCUUCUUAGAGGGACAGGCGGCUCCUAGCCGCACGAGACUGAGCAAUAACAGGUCUGUGAUGCCCUUAGAUGUCCUGGGCCGCACGCGCGCUACACUGAAGGAAUCAGCGUGUCUUCCCUGGCCGACAGGCCCGGGUAACCCGUUGAACCUCCUUCGUGCUAGGGAUUGGGGCUUGCAAUUGUUCCCCAUGAACGAGGAAUUCCCAGUAAGCGCGAGUCAUAAGCUCGCGUUGAUUACGUCCCUGCCCUUUGUACACACCGCCCGUCGCUACUACCGAUUGAAUGAUUUAGUGAGGUCUUCGGACUGGUGCGCGGCGAUCGGCCUAUACUGCCGGCCGCCGAUGUUGCCGGAAAGAUGACCAAACUUGAUCAUUUAGAGGAAGUAAAAGU